rnacentral:rRNA from 1 species
GACGAACGCUGGCGGCGUGCUUAACACAUGCAAGUCGAACGGAAAGGCCCUGCUUUUGUGGGGUGCUCGAGUGGCGAACGGGUGUGUAACCCGUGAGUAACCCGCCCUUGACUUUGGGAUAUCUUCAGGAAACUGCGGCUAAUACCGGAUAGGAGCUCCUGCAGCAUGGUGGUGGUUGGAAAGCUUCGGCGGUGGGGGAUCGACUCGCGGCUUAUUAGCUUGUUGGUGGGGUAGUGGCUUACCAAGGCUUCGACGGGUAGCCCGCCUGGGAGCGUGACCGGGGUCCUGGCUACUGAGGUACGGCCCAGUAUGCAACGGUAGGCAGUGGUGGGAAAUAUUAUACAGUGAGCGCGAGCGUGUGAAGAAGACGUCCCGUGCGUAAAGCCCGCCUACGGGGUAUGAACCGCUGUCGCCUGAGACGUAGCGUGAUUGACGGUACUGACUAAAGAAGCACCGGCUAACUACGUG